rnacentral:lncRNA from 1 species
AUUUAUUGCACUGAAAGCGAGUAAACAAAUAAGGUAUCAAUCCAUAUUUAAGGAACUGAGCAUCAAUCAUAAUCAAAUUAGUAUAGGGACUCCCCUUUAAUUAAGGAAUCAUAGUCAAAUGGUAAUAAGCAGUCAUUUUUAAAAGGAAAGCAAUCACAAAGUAUGGCAUGGUCACAUAAGGAAGUCCCCUUUAAUUAAUAAAUCACAAAGUAUGACAUGGUCACAUAAGGAAACAAAAAUAGUAUAAGGUAUACAAUGAAGACUAGAUGCAUGAUACUUAACCAGAGAAACAUGUCAAACAAAUAAAUCAACAUACUUGUGCACACAUAUAAGGAAAAAUACCACUUUAAUUUUGGAAAAUAAUUUCGAAUUAAUGAAUGAGAUUGAAAACCUUGGAGAUCAGUUAUUAAUUGAGGAAUGUAUCCCACUGAUUGAGGAAGAAAAUUCGAAACCAAUACCAAAUUGUAAGGAGAAUAAAUCAUAAUUUUAAAACCAGUAAUCACAGUCUUAAAGAGAGAUUUUAAAAAUCAGUAUAAAAUCACCAUAUAAACAGCCAGAAACCAUAAGAGAAGAACACAACACACUAGCAACAAGAGUCAAAGUAAAGAGCACGGAACUCAAAGAAGAACCCAGAAGAACAUGCAAACAGGAAAAUUCAUAUUACAAACAUGUCGGGUUAUGGUUUUCGUUAGAUUUUGACAAAAACUUUAGAAGUAGUACUAAGAGUUACGGACAAGUACUCGAAAAUCAGAAAAGUAAAGUUUUUUCGAAAGGGGUUAAGAAACCCUAGAAAUAGAAAUUAAAGUAUGGAACCCUGGUUAACAAGGAAAACAGACAAACCAGUGAAACAACAAACACAAAUGAAUAUAAAAUACUCAGAAAGAGUAGAAGAAACGAUUUUGAAGAAGGGGUCAGAAACCUUUAUUUGAAAGAGUGGUAAUCAUCCGAAAAAUUUGGAAUAACUGGAAAUGCUAAGUAAAAAUAAGGUAGAAAAAAAAAAAUCAAACUAAGCAUUAUUUAAAAAGAGCAGAGAUUAAAGAAGAAAAAUUAGGGGUUUUCAAACAAAUUAGGGAAAACAAAGAACCUGGCUGUGAAACUCAUAUACAAUGCCAUAUGAAGCAUCAUCGUACAAAGACCACCGGAGAAAAGCCGGAAAACAGACCCAACUGAAGCUUCAGUGUCCGUCUUUCAUGGCGGAAGCUGCUGGGCUUCAAGCUUUAGAGAGAAAACAGCGAUACAAGGACUCCAUGGUUGUUGGAGGUCGAGAGAAGUGAGGGAGGAGUGAGCCAGAGAGGCGAUGGUCAUCAUCAGAGAAGAAGGAGAGAACCAGAAGGUUCUAGAGAGCAAAUGUUUAGAGAGAGAGAGAGAC